UACGUAGGGUGCAAGCGUUGUCCGGAAUUAUUGGGCGUAAAGAGCUCGUAGGUGGCCUGUCGCGUCGGCUGUGAAAACUCGGGGCUCAACUCCGAGCUUGCAGUCGAUACGGGCAGGCUAGAGUUCGGCAGGGGAGACUGGAAUUCCUGGUGUAGCGGUGAAAUGCGCAGAUAUCAGGAGGAACACCGGUGGCGAAGGCGGGUCUCUGGGUCGAUACUGACGCUGAGGUGCGAAAGCGUGGGGAGCAAACAGG
rnacentral:rRNA from 1 species